UACGUAGGGUGCGAGCGUUAAUCGGAAUUACUGGACGUAAAGGGUGCGCAAACGGUUAUAUAAGACAGAUGUGAAAUCCCCGGGCUCAACCUGGGAACUGCGUUUAUGACUGUAUGACUAGAGUACGGUAGAGAGGAAUGGAAUUCCUGGUGUAGCAGUGAAAUGCGUAGAUAUCAGGAGGAACAUCGAUAGCGAAAACAGCCCCUUGGACCUGUACUGACGCUCAUGCACGAAAGCGUGGGGAGCAAACAGG
rnacentral:rRNA from 1 species